CCACAAGCGAUGAAGGAAAAAAGACGGGGCAGGUCUGCCACAAGAGAGCCGGCGGUGGGUGCGAGCCGGCGGAGACGUUCCGUUGUACUGGCUCCUGAGCCUUUCGCCUGAACAGGGCGGAACGGGUGCGCACCGUUACAGCGUCGUCUUUCGUAAGAAAGAUACGGAGCGCCGCGGAGCGAUCUGCGGCGGAAGCAGGGUGGUAACACGUCUAUAACGUCCCUGGC
rnacentral:ncRNA from 1 species